rnacentral:rRNA from 1 species
CCGUGGGGAGGCUAUCGUGCAGUAUCUAUGGUUGCGUGGUUGGCGUUGCUGUCCACUGGAGCUCGGGUGAGCACGCGUACCUGUCUGGCUUGUACUGAGGGAUAGCCCAGAGAAAUUUGGAUUAAUACCUCAUAGCAUAUAGACUCCACCUGGAGAUUAUAUUAAAGGUUACGGUACAAGAUGAGUAUGCGUUCUAUUAGCUAGAUGGUAAGGUAACGGCUUACCAUGGCAACGAUAGAUAGGGGCCCUGAGAGGGGGAUCCCCCACACUGGUACUGAGACACGGACCAGACUCCUACGGGAGGCAGCAGUGAGGAAUAUUGGACAAUGGGCGAGAGCCUGAUCCAGCCAUGCCGCGUGCAGGAUGACUGCCCUAUGGGUUGUAAACUGCUUUUAUACAGGAAGAAACACUCCCUCGUGAGGAGGCUUGACGGUACUGUAAGAAUAAGGAUCGGCUAACUCCGUGCCAGCAGCCGCGGUAAUACGGAGGAUCCAAGCGUUAUCCGGAAUCAUUGGGUUUAAAGGGUCCGUAGGUGGAUAAUUAAGUCAGAGGUGAAAUCCUGCAGCUCAACUGUAGAAUUGCCUUUGAUACUGGUUAUCUUGAGUUAUUAUGAAGUAGUUAGAAUAUGUGGUGUAGCGGUGAAAUGCAUAGAUAUCACAUAGAAUACCAAUUGCGAAGGCAGAUUACUAAUAAUAUACUGACACUGAUGGACGAAAGCGUGGGGAGCGAACAGGAUUAGAUACCCUGGUAGUCCACGCCGUAAACGAUGGUUACUAGUUGUUCGGACUUCGGUUUGAGUGACUAAGCGAAAGUGAUAAGUAACCCACCUGGGGAGUACGUUCGCAAGAAUGAAACUCAAAGGAAUUGACGGGGGCCCGCACAAGCGGUGGAGCAUGUGGUUUAAUUCGAUGAUACGCGAGGAACCUUACCAGGCUUAAAUGUAGAUUGACAGGUUUAGAGAUAGACUUUUCUUCGGACAAUUUACAAGGUGCUGCAUGGUUGUCGUCAGCUCGUGCCGUGAGUUGUCAGGUUAGUCCUAUACGAGCGCACCCCUGUGUAGUUGCCAGCGAUUCAAGUCGGGAACUUCUACCAGACUGCCGGUGCAA